rnacentral:misc_RNA from 1 species
CAGAUGCCGUGGCUGAAACAAUCAAUGAUGAGAAGUAAAUUAGUUUCGUGUUUGAAAAAUACGUCAUCAACCCACACGCACGGUGAUGCCAUGGCGAAAAUAAUUCCUACGUCAAACUGCGAAAAACUGCAGGGUAUCUCCAAAUCCAGGAUACAGCCAACCAAUACGCGGAAAUAAUUCGGACCAUUUGAUUAAAAAUAUGAGGAGCUUUUGAAAAGUUACAAAAACAAAAUACUGUACUAAUUUCGUCUGGAAACCUUCUGCAAUCAUUCACGAAGUGUAACUGAAGGGGUGGAGAAAAUAAAGUGGAUGCGAUGAAAUCCUGAAAAUCAAAGUAGCAGCUGUCAAAAACCUAGAAUGACGAUGCCAACUCGGUGCAUCUCUGUACAAGAGGUCAAGUCCUGCAGCAGGCAUGACAAAACUUUGGGAAUUUGAUAAGUGUAAGGAAAUCCUUUCCGGACACGUGAGACCCACAGAGAGGUAACGAAGUCAUCAGAAAAAGACCGAAAAAUCUUUCGUCUCAGAAUCGAAUUGCAUGACUCUUUCUGAACUGAUUGAUUCCUCAGGAAUGGGAAAUAGAGAUAUGGAUGAGCAAACUAGCAACAGUUUAGGAGAUACGAAUGAAAAAUACGGACAACAUCAAUUCUUUAUUAAUUUUAAUACAUGUUACGUGGAAUGGAGACAAUGCAAUACAAUACGUCACACAUCGUAUCGUGCGAAGGCGGAUUGCAGCUCUACGCAGGCCGAUACCUAGGCUAUAUUUUGUAACUAUAACAAUAACUGUCUGUUACGGUAUAUUUCAAAUUUUGCUGAGGACAAUGUAUACUGCACAUCAGUAUCCACACGAGACAAUUUAAUUUCAUAUGUGAAGUUUAACCAGAUCAUUGCAGUCCUCUUUGUCUCUCACAGUAAUUCUAUUAGUAAUUUUGUAAAAUAACUACACAUUGACACGUGAAAACUUGUAUUGCAAU